rnacentral:rRNA from 1 species
CAGUCGCCGCGGUAAUACAGAGGAUGCAAGCGUUGUCCGGAAUGAUUGGGCGUAAAGGGCGCGUAGGCGGUUUGACAAGUCUUAUGUGAAAUCUUCGGGCUCAACUCGAAGUCUGCAUGGGAAACUGUCGGGCUUGAGUAUGGGAGAGGUGAGUGGAAUUUCCGGCGUAGCGGUGAAAUGCGUAGAUAUCGGAAGGAACACCUGUGGCGAAAGCGGCUCACUGGACCAUGACUGACGCUGAGACGCGAAAGCUAGGGGAGCAAACAGGAUUAGAUACCCGCGUAGUCCCUGUCUCUUAUAC